GACGAACGCUGGCGGCGUGCCUAAUACAUGCAAGUAGAACGCUGAAGCGAGGAGCUUGCUCUUCUUGGAUGAGUUACGAACGGGUGAGUAACGCGUAGGUAACCUGCCUUGUAGCGGGGGAUAACUAUUGGAAACGAUAGCUAAUACCGCAUAACAAUGGAUGACACAUGUCAUUUAUUUGAAAGGGGCAAUUGCUCCACUACAAGAUGGACCUGCGUUGUAUUAGCUAGUAGGUGAGGUAAUGGCUCACCUAGGCGACGGUACAUAGCCGACCUGAGAGGGUGAUCGGCCACACUGGGACUGAGACACGGCCCAGACUCCUACGGGAGGCAGCAGUAGGGAAUCUUCGGCAAUGGGGGCAACCCUGACCGAGCAACGCCGCGUGAGUGAAGAAGGUUUUCGGAUCGUAAAGCUCUGUUGUAAGUCAAGAACGGGUGUGAGAGUGGAAAGUUCACACUGUGACGGUAGCUUACCAGAAAGGGACGGCUAACUACGUG
rnacentral:rRNA from 1 species